CAAUAGCGUAUAUUAAAGUUGUUGCAGUUAAAAAGCUCGUAGUUGGAUUUCUGGCAGGAGCGACCGGUCAUGCACUAUGUGCGUGAACUUGUGUUGUCUCUGGCCAUCCUUGGGGAGAUCCUGUUUGGCAUUAAGUUGUCGGGCGGGGGAGACGGAUCGUUUACUUUGAAAAAUCAGAGUGUUUCUAGCAGGCAGCUCGCUCUUGCAUAGGUUAGCAUGGGAUAAUUUAAUAGGACUCUGGUGCUAUUUUGUUGGUUUCGAACACCGGAGUAAUGAUUAAAAGGGGCAGUCAGGGGCACUCGUAUUCCGUCGAGAGAGGUGAAAUUCUCAGACCAAUGGAAGACGAACCACUGCGAAAGCAUUUGCCAGGGAUGUUUUCACUGAUCAAGAACGAAAGUUAGGGGAUCGAAGAUGAUCAGAUACCGU
rnacentral:rRNA from 1 species